rnacentral:tRNA from 1 species
AUCUAAAUAGUUUAAUAAAAAUUUAAAUUUGUGGAAUUUAAGAAGAAAGAAUUUUCUUUAGAUA